rnacentral:tRNA from 1 species
AAGUGAGAAGCAAACAUUGCAAUCAGUUUCGACCUGACCUUAGAUAAAUUUAUUUAUCCUCACUUU